CUCAGUGCCCAGACGCUGCGCAUGCAGCAAGCUUCUCCUGAUUCAGCUGCACCUUAAAAGGAAGCAUGCCGGCUAGCGGAUAGCUUGUCAUGAGUUUGUGACACGUGAAACAAAGCACUGUGAUAAGGGGUGGAUUUCUCAGUAGAUGAGAAUUCAAAUGGUGUUGGAACACAGAACUCAGCCUCAUUCCACAUCCUCUUGGUGGUUCAGUAAACAGAGCAACAGAAAGCAACGGGGAAACUCUGGCGCAGAACUGUGUCUGUGCCGACGACAUAUCCCAUCUCAGUGGACCUGAGUAAGAUGGAAGGAAGUGCAGAGAACAGUACGAAUUGCAAAAGGAACAAAUGACGAGGACCUAGAUCCCAAAGCCCAGUGAUGCAAGCGUAGAGUCUGGUGGACAGGAGAGGGCAGGCUUCCCUGAGUUUCCAGUCUUCCUGGCCCCUAGUUCAUGUCUGGCUGCCCUUACGGAGGUUGUCAGAAGGAGCAGAGUUGUCAGACCGUCCUGGGAAGAGGCGAAUCGGCUGUCUGCAAGCCCAGGGCCGGCACGCAGAGGAGAAAGUCUUGUGUGGUGGAAAAGCUCCAGCAUUCUGGGCAUGGAAUCCUGAUCUGCUAAUUCCAGAGACUGAAUCAACAGAGGAACACAGAGAAAGCCACCCUGAUGUGUGAGAAGGACAGGAGAAAUAAAAACCAGCGAUAAGAGAGCGCUGAGAUAAGGCUGCUGGCGCCAGGGAGCGACGGGGUUUAGCACCUACAGAGAGCUUAUGGUUGCCGCUGCUGCCCUGGGCCCUAAUUGCUGAGAUCCAAAAUGGUGAGAACGAUUCUGCUAAAUUGUUUUGGGUCUAGAUUCUAGAUUUCAAAAAAUAUUUGCUUUACCUGCCAAAGAGCAGGAUCUGUCUAGAGUCUGUACAAUAAAUACAAGGGAAAACGUAAUCUCGUGUCAAUUAAGAUGUAUAGAAAUACACUAAAGCACUAUGGGCUUGUUUCUUUUUACCCUGCUUCUCUCAAAAUGGAUCUGUGAUGGCCAUGUAAAUGCAAAGUCUUGGAGUAUCCAGCGUCCAUGAAAGGCGACGUUAGGAAGUUGUUAGGCUGCUCCGUUGUAACUUCCGUUUUCAUUGUGGACUCCUAGUAGAAACCCAUGACCCAGAUGUUCUCACGCCUUCCUCCGAGGUCACUUGCAGUUUCCAACUCAAGGACUCUCCAAAGAUACACGGAUCAGCUGCCUACAUCUUAGGCCCUUGAAAACAUCUGGGCAGCUGGGUCUCCUGACAGGCCAGACCAGUCUCUCCAGAUGACCAGUGGGUGGCAGGAGGCUGCACAAUGUAUAACCCCCCAGCCACCCCCCUCCCCCCGGCCUGGCAGCCUACGGCUCAGGAAGAGUUCUCUGCAGACUGCACGAACUUGGCUCUUGCAGCAGGCAGCUGCAUGGAUGACAGACCAAGAGCUAUCUCUCCCGGGAUAAGAAGCUGGAUGCUGGGCGAUGCCAAUUCAUUUUUCCCCUCAUCAGUUAGUGGAAACUCACGUCCACAGAUUGAUUUUCAAAGGAAUAAAUGUUAUCACCAGAUGUCAUCUGUGUAGCAGCCCCCUUCAGAAAAACUUUUCCUUGGUAAUGGGGGAAAUUUGACUUCAAGGAGCCAGUACGCAGCUGUGUACGAUGGGUUUCAUCUUUUUACAUUAGACACGCUCUGUCGUGAGCUCUCAGUGACUUCACUUCCCAUCUUGUGUGCAGCUUUGCCACCAUCGCAACAUAACUGAUGCUUUAUGAGGCCAGUUUCACGGUCGGCUGGCACCUCUGCACUCUCUGAGGUACCAGUGACAGUUAUAAUGGGACUGGCUCACCAGGCACCUGUGGCCUUCAGGCAUGAUACAGGCAGCCACAGCGCCCAAAAGAAACGUAUGAAAGUGAGACCUGAGAUCACAGACUAGCUUCAUCUCCCUGAAUUUAUUCCAUGCAAAACCAAAACAAAACAAAAUGCCAUCUACCAGCUAGAAGUUUCCAUCAAAAUCUGAAUGAGUCUAAGUGCCGUGUUCACCUCAAAAAUGACGUCUUUAUUAUUGACAGUCCACUGAUAUGAACAGAAAUGACCAUUUUUAUGAAAGAAGAUUUUAUGAUAGGAAAGGACAAGGGAAGUGGAGCGGAGGUGCACCACGGUCAGGAGAAGGUCCUCAUUCUGUUCACCAUCACCAAGGACUAAGGUGGGGUGGGCACUGGGGAGGGAGGGUGUGAAUUCGCUCACACAGCUACCGUGAGAUUCAUUACUCACUGUACGAUACUGAGUUUUGGCUAUGAAUUGGCCAGGUUAGUGAUUCCAAAACAAGGUAACAUAAAAAUGACCAGCACAAUUCCCAACACAAGAGCAACUCCAUUUUACAAAAGCACAGAAAAACAACUUUCAUCCUUUCAAACAUGGAAAGCAGAACCCAAACAGACAAAUGAAAGCAACAACAAUAAACCGUGGAAGUCAGUAUCUAUUCUCACAGGACGUGACUGACAAGUGCAUGAGAAGCUCGGUCCCAGCAGGAGAGUUUACAGGCUUACGUGCUGGAAGGAACCCAGUGGACCUCUGAGCUCAUAUUUUCUUCUGAAUGUCAGUUAAGGAAAUCAAGACAUACAUAUGCUGAGUUUUCAAAGCCUCACUUCACUCUGGAUUCUUUUGAUUAAAGUAGAAAUGCUCUUGUUUUGAGAAUGCGGGCAAUCUAGGAAAAGGCACAUAAAGUAGUCAAUUACAUGAACUCUGUCCAUGUGGAUUUCAGACUUUAGAAUUAAUACUCUAAUUGAUUAUUCUUAGAAAUGCUAGCAAUAAAAAGCUCCAAAUUCCUAAUGUCUAAUCCAAUCUCAAAAUUGACAGAUCUUAAGUAACAUCAUCAGAACCACAUUUGUUAUCUGCAAAUUGCUGGAGCUACAGUGUCGGUCCCACACUGCCUGCUGGCCCUCCCCGGAGUGGCUGAUGGCAGGGCAGGAUGAGCUAUCAUUAGCUGGCACAGGGAUGGCCUGCAUCUACCUGUCAUGGUGCUUGGUGACAUCUGACACUACGAGCUUGUUUGGAUCUGGGGGAGAAGGUAUAUGAACUUGAUUCCAUAAGGCUGUUUUGCUAAACGAAACAGCUUUCUUCCAAAACAGUCUUAACAACAAUGUGAUAAAUACAGAAAACUGUUCUAGGGAGCAAAUCAAAGUCAUUUUAUUUGCUGCAUUUGUGGGGGUGGGUAAAAUGUAAGAGGGUUGGGCUCUAAGCCUACUUUUGAUUUGCAAGUGCCCUACACUGUGAAAUCACCAGGAAAUUAGAGCCUGAAAUGUGGCCACUUAUCUGCAGGCCUCCAAGUGAGGCAGGGGCUAACACCGCUGAUGCAAAUCUUGCCACAGUAAUUAAGGCAAAUGUUCAGCCUGACGGGGAGCCACCCAAUCUCAUCCUCUAGGGCACUCCUGGAGUCCUCAAAUACAUUGUAGGAUUCAGCAUCUAAUGGAAUUUUCAGACCAAAUGUAAAAGGAAGGGACAGCUGGUUUACAAAAUUUCACCUGCUAAUCUUGUGCUAUAGGCCCCGUUUUCCCUCUCAUUCUGUUCUUAGCAGAGCAGGAGCUACAGGUAGCAUGGAAGAACAGAGGCAGCCUGCACUAUACAGUUCUCUGAAAAUUACAGACUGCUAUCCAUUAAGGAGCAGUAAAGUCAAGUUAGUGUGUUGCAAUCAGAAUUUUUUUUCUAAAGAAGAUAGAGUAGUCUAGGAAAUGCUAGGAGUAGAUUAAUCAUUAAUAAACCUUCAUUAGAGUAAGUAUUGUUUUGCCAGACUUUAGUUCGCUCUCUCUCUCUCUCUCUCUGUCUCUCGUGUGUCUGUUUGUGUGUGUGUGUGCACGCGCGUGUUUGUACAGGUUCAGGGUUUGGAUAAGUUGCCCUACCAGAUAGAUCCCCUCUGAUCUGAAAUCCUCUAAGUGCGAGUCUCCUCAGAUACAGGCAGCUCCUCAGAGGCUGAAGAAGCCUGCCAGUGACACAAGCCUGCCAUUGUCUAAGGUCUACUCCUGGGCCCUGCUUGCCACCAGUCAGGACCAGAUUUUAGAACACAGUAGGGACUUGUAUUGCCAAGGAAUGGAACUCUUUCCACCAACAGCUUCGGCAUUUCUCAGCUUGUUCAACUCUCCCUGGCUCUACUCUCUGGAAGGACGCCUUACUGCCUAAGGGAGGCAGGAGGGGUGCGGACAACCACAGGCCCCUCCCCCGCUGUGGCCUCGCCUCCCAUUCCCCGGCUGAUUACACAUCUUUGGCUCACACAUCCACAUCUUUCACUGCAUUAGGAACCACUACUGCCAGAACCGUUCAAGACAGUAGUUUUCAUCACUUUUUACCCCAUAGCAGAUAAUUACAAAUGCAAGACUUGUUUAUCAUAUUCCAUCAUUAUAGCGUUUUUCCUGACAUGAUUGAUCCUUUUCAUUCGGAAGACCCAUUUGGUGGAGCUGAGGGCAUCCUCCUCCAGAACAUGAAAUUGUGCAAAGCCAAUAAAAGAAAAUUAGAAAUAGAGGUCUUUGAAUUAGAAAUUGGGGUCAAAAUACUGCCUCUGUCACUUGCCAACCGGGCGAUCCUGCACACCGGUACCUCUCAGGGACAGCUGAGGAGUCAGAUGAGGUCAGGACAAAGUGCUCAACACAAUUCCUGAUCCCCAGAGGAGCAUCAUAUGUCUUGAAAAAGCAAAGUCACAUUUAAGAACAGUCUCAUAUACAAAAGUAUAUUGUGUACCUCACAAAAUACUCAAAUACAGGUUGGCCCAAUCAACAUCAGAAUGCAUUUUUCAGUUCUUCAGGGUUAACAUGAGGAUUUCUUCCACAAGUAGGAGUAUUUCACACUUUACUAGCUGCAUUCCUUAAGCCAACAUGACUGUCUUUAGAAGAAAGAUGUUUUUAAAACGAUAAGAUAUAUUUUGAAUUUUCAAACAGUUAGUUACAUAUGACUUUCUCAACAGACAAGGCCGGCCAUUUCUUGGCAUUUCGGGCCACAUGUCUGAGUUCUGAUUUUCAAUCAGGGUUUAGCAUAGUGUUUUUUAAGAAAUUAGGUGAACCUUUUAGGUCAUAAGAUUUAUGGUUUUAGUAAAUCAUGUGCUUUCCAUCCUUUUAAAUGCCUUCAUGUUAUACUUUAUCAUCUAUUUUGCUUAUAUCUGAAUCCUAAAUAAUAUGGCCAAGUCCAGAAAAUCUGCGUAUACGACCUUGAAGAAAAUGCACAUGGGCAGCAAAAGACCCACGGUCUGGGAAGAGGCCCAAGGUCAGGGGCUUCCUGGCUGUGUGACCUUGACUGGUGCCCCUUUGUAUUGCCAUCUUGUUUCAUCAGCAAACAAGAGCUGUGUAUUCUGGAGAUCAUUUGGAGUUCUUUAAAAAAACAGAAAAAAGACAAGCUCAUCAAAACUAAAAAUGCAUGUACGGCUCCUGAAAAUAUCCAUCACCUAGGCUCACGAAGGUGAAUUUGAACUGAAUGAAUCCUUUGAGCAGCUUGUAUUGACAGGAAAGAGGGCAUCCUGCAUAGCAGGUCAGAGGGAGGCCCCAUGAAGUAAACCCUGAGUGGGGGCGUCCCAGCCUGGCUGGGAAGACACGUGGGCUCUGGCAGGUCAGGGAAGGGUGAGAGGUGGGCCUGACUUUUGGAUCAAGUUUCAGACAAACCACAGUGGAGGACACAUUGUUGAGCCAACUGGAGAUGUGUCAGUAGACUGGCUGUUGGGUGACAUAUGGCUAAUUUUUAGGUUUGAUGACAGUAUUGUGAUUAUGUUUUAAAAAAUCAUGUUUUUAGAGACACACGAUGUGAAAUGGAGAUAGUGUUGUAGGAAAAAAUGGGGUUUCUUGGAUGAGACGUGACUGGCCUUAAAAUAGUUUAGGAAUGGAAGGACAGAUGUGGAAGAAAACAAUCUUAAUGAUUUGGGGUUCUGCACGUGCAUUAAAACUUAUACCUGAAAACUUAAAAAUUCUUCUAUUGAAAAUCUUAUUUGAAUGGCACCCACCGCCAGGCCUCCCUAGCAAGCCCUCCUGUGUGCACAGAGGAGCACAUAUGAACAGUGCUUCAUGUACUGGCUGCAAAGCCCAGAACAAGCUUAAUCCCCUUUUUAGUGACAGUCAUGGAAGACGAGGGAGCCAUUCCACGCAUGGGACUGACUUACACAUACUUCAGUUUAGAAAGCUCUCAAACAAAGUGAAAUUAAGUUAAAAAAAAGCAAGAGGCAAAACAAUAUGCAUGAAUGACAUAAACUCAUUUGUACAAAAACGUAAACAAAACUUAAAUGAUUGACUUUUAUUUCUACAUAUAUUUGUAUGUAAAAUACACAGAAAAA